rnacentral:rRNA from 1 species
UACGUAGGGGGCAAGCGUUGUCCGGAAUCAUUGGGCGUAAAGAGCGUGUAGGCGGCUCGGUAAGUCCGCUGUGAAAGUCCAGGGCUCAACCCUGGAAUGCCGGUGGAAACUGUCGAGCUCGAGUCCGGAAGAGGCGAGUGGAAUUCCUGGUGUAGCGGUGAAAUGCGCAGAUAUCAGGAGGAACACCAAUGGCGAAGGCAGCUCGCUGGGACGGUACUGACGCUGAGGCGCGAAAGCGUGGGGAGCAAACAGG